rnacentral:rRNA from 1 species
UACGUAGGCAGCAAGCGUUGUUCGGAGUUACUGGGCGUAAAGAGUGUGUAGGCGGUUCUCCAAGGCCGGUGUGAAAUCUCCCGGCUCAACUGGGAGGGGGCGCCGAAAACUGGAGGGCUUGAGUAUGGGAGAGGAAAGCGGAAUUCCUGGUGUAGCGGUGAAAUGCGUAGAUACCAGGAGGAACACCUGCGGUGUAGACAGCUUUCUGGACCAUCACUGACGCUGAGACACGAAAGCGUGGGUAGCAAACAGG